AAUCCAUUGUGCGGGCAGUCGCACUAAUCUCUUGAACCUCGCCCAUGCGUCACUGAGCAAUUCGUCUUCUUCUUGUUCAAAAUUUGCGAUCAACUUCCUCCUUCU